rnacentral:lncRNA from 1 species
ACCAAACAUAUUAGAAUACAUAUGAUACGUUGAUGAUGUGCUAGUUAUUUGGAAAAAGAACACAAAAACGGAGAUACCAGUACUUACAGAACAUUUAACAAAAAAACCUUUAAGAUUAGAAUUGAAACAAGAGCAGUGCAGCCAGACAGGAGCCCAUUUCUUAGAUAUUGAUAUAGAAAUAUUAGAGGAUAGAUACAGAACGAAGGUCUAUAGGAAGCCAAUGUAUUGUCCUGUUAUAAUCCUAAACUGGUUGAAAGACCCUAUAAAAUACAAAAAAGUGGCCUUCAGAUCAUUUUUCCAGAGAGUGUACAUGUAUUGUUUGGACAUGGAGGAUUUCCAGAUCAAGACAAACUAUAUCAUAAAUAAAGGCAUGGAGCAUGGAUACUCCAAAGGAUUUUUAAAUGUGAUCAAACGUAACAUAGAGGCCAAUAUAUUG